GCGCCAGUGGUCUAAUGGUAGAAUGCGACCUUCCCAAGGUUGAUAUCCGGGUUCGAUUCCCGGCUGGCGCA
rnacentral:tRNA from 1 species